UAUAAGAUGGCGGUAGUUUGACGUUUGAUUGCAUCUUGGAGUUGUUUAAUUUGUACUCACUGGGAAGUUUAAACUGCCAGCUGAGUGUGACAUUUUAUAUAUUGUUAAUCGAAAGAAAAACAAAAUUAGUUUGAAUAAGGGCUAUUGAGAAAUUAAUCAAAUGGAGAAUUGUCAUCUAUAGGUGUCUGGAAAUGCCAAAUUGGUGGUGGAGGAGGGGAAAAGGUUGAUAUCAACCAAUGGGCGUGUCACCUGCAGUGGGCGGGCCGAUGAUGGCUCCUCCUCCCUGUUGUAGCAGCAAGAGUCCCAUGAAUCUAGGAAACCUCUUCAUUCCGACCAGUCGAACCAGCACCACAUACUGCAGACACCCAUACCCGCCUGAAACAAAAUAACUUUUGUUAUUUAAAUUACACAAUAUUAAGUGUAUCGUUAAUAGUAACACAUCUUGAAUAGACCGUUAAGUCCCGUUGGUAGAACGCUCGGCUGACUUGCUUUGGUCGCAGGUUCGAAUCUCCUCGGUGGACGAAUUCUCAGAUUUUUUUUU